AUACAUUGACAGGGGAGAUUACCGUGAGGGCUGCCUGUCACAGGUCCAUGGGGAAGAGUGAAAAGCCGUACAGCAUGAGAGUAGGGAAAGGUUAUAGAUGGCUACUAGGGACCUUGUUAAACAUCUCCUGUGGGACACUGUCAUCAUGGUCAAAAUGUGUUGGAAACAGCGUCAACGUUUAAUCUUAUCAAUAGAUAGAUAUUAAUGGUGGGUCCCAAUCCCAAUUUAGAAUUGCCCACAGGUUAUUUGUUAAAGAUCUGUUGAUGCAGUGUUUGGUAAUUGUGUUACACAAUGUAUUCCUGUAUAGUUAAAUGAGCCCCUAGUUAAGAAGACCAGACACUACUGUUUAUUGUUAUUUAUGGGGCAUCAUUCUUGUUUCUCACUUCAGUCUUUCAUCACACUUAUCUUCACAGAUGGUGUUAAAGCACUCCGUACCAGGGAUCGUGGUCCAACGCCACUGCUCCUGUGUUGCAGGAAGUGCUGUGUGCAAUCAUCUGGUGGCCCUUCUUUACCAGACAGCGCACUACUCUCAACUAAACAUUCCUGCUGCACAGACACAGAACAGCUUUGGCACGAGCCAAGAACACUUCCAGGUCCGGUUGAUGGGAUAGAGUUCCGUAAACCUACUGGUGUGCUGAUGGAAUAAGAAGUUGGCUCUACAAAGCACUCAAUGGAUAUGCCUGACAUGGACCUUCUCCGCGUCUCAGAAACGUAUGCCAACUUUUCUCCACUUACUGCCCCUCUUGUGACAACAAUAGAAAUGUCAGCUGAUGUGCCCCUGGUUGAGUCCGCCUUUGGGCCAGUGCAAGCUGGCAAUGUGCUGUCCUAUCAACUUCCACAGCCAAAGACCCGUGAAAUUGUGAAAAUUGCCGAUGCCCCUUCUCCACUAAUACUUCCGGUAGAUGGCAACAGGCUUCAGUCUUCCCAGUGUGCUUACAUCCUUAGCCACCAGGGGCAGUUCCAGGUCAAGGCAUUAGAGACAACCUACGAGAUGUCACACAAAGUUGAGGUUGCUUACAAGGGAGCAGAGCAGCAGCCCGGAAUGGCAUCAGCUCAGGAAAAUGAGAAUAACAUCGUCUCGUUUCCGAGAGGUUUGCCAUGUCCGGGGAGAGACCUCAGCGGACCGCCUAGCUGAGCGGAUGUUCAAGGGAUCUGGUGUGCAGACCGUGGAGAUGAAGAGGGGGCUAGCCAUGGAGCCAGUGGCUGUACAGGAGUACUGCACACUGAAGAACGUUAACUUCUUUCCAUGUGGCUUCGUAGUGCACCCAGAUGCUCCGUGGUUAGGAUCCUCUCCAGAUGGCAUCAUAUUUGAUCCCAGUGUGAGACCACACUUUGGACUCUUAGAGGUCAAGUGCCCAAAUGUACAAAGUUAUGUUGACUGCCUUUACCUGAGGAUACAGAAUGGAGAGCUGAAGUUGAAGAGAUUUAAUGCUUACUACUGGCAGGUGCAAGGUCAAAUUCUUCUCACAGGUUGUAGCUGGUGUGACUUUGUCAUCUGUGCACAGGUGGACAUCCUAGUUGAAAGGAUAUCUAAAGAUCUACAGGUUUAAAAAAAUAUAAGAGAGAAGGUUGAACACUUUUAUUUUUACCACUACUUGCAGAAGUGUCUCUCGCACCUGAAUGGAUCCCCUGCAUGGGUGCCGAGUUUAGUGGUUUCAUGAAAAAUAAGUAUUGAUGUUCUUGUGAAGAAAACUGCAGUAUAAUAUAUUUGUUUAAAAUAAUGUAUUUCAGCAAAUGUUCAACAGUUCAGUAAAUCAAUUACACAUCUCUAACAUUGUAUACAGUCUUGCAUUCUGGCUAUUCUGUGUUUACUUGAUUUCUUUCCCCCACCCCUAAACUCAUUGCCUAAUUAAAGCCAAUACAAGCUCCACACAAACUGAUAUUCACUACAACACAAAUGAUUGAUACAUGUCGUAGAUAAACAAAUUAUUAUUUUGCUACUACCAAAUAAACACAUGUACAUUUACACU